GAAAUGCGAUAAGUAGUGUGAAUUGCAGAAUUUAGCGAAUCAUCGAAUCUUUGAACGCACAUUGCGCCCCUUGGUAUUCCAUGGGGCAUACCUGUUCGAGCGUCAUUUCAACCCUCAAGCACUGCUUGGUGUUGGGCGUUUGUCCCGCCUACGCGCGUGGACUCGCCUCAAAGUCAUUGGCAGCUGUUCCCCUUCGGCUCGUAAGCGCAGCACAGUCGGCGCCCGGAGCUCUGGUGGGAUGGCGUCCAGCAAGCUAUAUUUUCAGGCUUGACCUCGGAUCAGGUAGGGAUACCCGCUGAACUUAAGC
rnacentral:misc_RNA from 1 species